AGACCUCACAGAGGAUCCUCUUGAAGACCACGGAGGGGUGACUCAUUCUGGGCCUUUGGGGUCAAAUCAAUCAGAACUGAGGGCAGACCCACAAUCCUUCAGUGUGUCCUGAUUCUGAUAUCAGGGGCUCAGCUCUUCUUCUGCUUUAAAGCUCCUCUUGGACUUUCUCUGAUCCACAUCUGCAGGUUUUAUAAAUCUGGACUGGAGCAGACUCUGCAGACGCGGACUCUGCUGGACUCGUCUCUGUUCCUGCGUGAAAAACACUUUACUUUGCACACCUGGUCAUCGUAAUGCUAGUGCCCCCUACAGGACUGGAGGUCUGGUCUCAGGAUUAUUUUGGGUUCGUCUCUCUGAACUUUCACCUCUGCUGAGCGUCAUCCUGGACCAUCUUCAGCUGAUGGUGAAUCAAAGUCCACACUUAUUGAAACGUCUCCUCCUCCUGGACUCUGUCGGCGGUCAUGAAUGAUCUGAAUGUUUUCUGUCUCUCUGUCAGGCGUCCCCUGCAGUGACCCUGAUCGUGCUGAUCCUGUUAUCGAUGAAUGACCCUUUAGACUAAGAGCGAAGCUGAAGAUGAAACUCCUACAGGGGAGGAUGUCAUGGGUGCAGAGGCGUAAAAUGAGAGUCAAAUGUUUUGCACAAAUGUUCGUCUCCCUGGGACUGAAGUUUGUGUAACACAACAAGAAGAAGAGUGAUCGGGAGGAUUUUACCACGCUGCCUCGGGUUGUUUUUUUAAUCCUCUCUGUCUUGUGUUUGUCCUUUAACCAGAUCUUGAAUUUAUGUAAUUUAGACAGAAGUCAUAGGAAGUUAUUUCAGACUCACUGUUACGUGUUGUUGUUGUUUUUGUAAAAAAGUCGGGUUUUCCAAAAACUACGUCUGGGUGGAGUCUCAAACCUCCGCUCACUGUCCCGAGUUCAUCCUGAUUUUCCCUGAAAGGUUAUAAAAGGUGAAGCCGUCCUUCUUGUAUAAGACAGACGGAGUUAUCUAAGUAAAUG